rnacentral:rRNA from 1 species
AACCUCCGCAAUGUGAGAAAUCGCGACGGGGGGAUCCCAAGUGCCAUUCUUAACGGGAUGGCUUUUCUUAAGUGUAAAAAGCUUUUGGAAUAAGAGCUGGGCAAGACCGGUGCCAGCCGCCGCGGUAACACCGGCAGCUCUAGUGGUAGCUGUUUUUAUUGGGCCUAAAGCGUUCGUAGCCGGUUUGAUAAGUCACUGGUGAAAUCCUGUAGCUUAACUGUGGGAAUUGCUGGUGAUACUGUUGAACUUGAGGUCGGGAGAGGUUAGCGGUACUCCCAGGGUAGAGGUGAAAUUCUGUAAUCCUGGGAGGACCACCUGUGGCGAAGGCGGCUAACUGGAACGAACCUGACGGUGAGGGACGAAAGCUAGGGGCGCGAACCGGAUUAGAUACCCGGGUAGUCCUAGCCGUAAACGAUGCGGACUUGGUGUUGGGAUGGCUUUGAGCCGCUCCGGUGCCGAAGGGAAGCUGUUAAGUCCGCCGCCUGGGAAGUACGGUCGCAAGACCGAAACUUAAAGGAAUU